rnacentral:misc_RNA from 1 species
GCUCCACAUACGUGAAAUCGUUGUGCACACCAACACCCACAGAGGCGCACGUGUGUUGUACCGUCACCCCACAUGAACAAUCGUUUCGCGCACCCAGCGUCUAUCGCACCACAGGCGCAGACCUCCAACUACCCCACGGUGCACAACAUUUAUUUUCGGUCUUCACCGCUGUCCACGCUGCCGACAAGGCGGAACACAAAGUUCAAGUGCCCCUCAUGCGGGGUGUGGGGUGAAAAAAGCACGGUGUGCAAGGUGUGCCUCUCUACCAUACCAGGCCCCCGCCGCAUCUACGCGCCCCCCUCUUCAGAGACCGUGAAGCGUCAGCCAGCCAGUUCAGGUCGACGGCACACCGUCGUGCAGCCAGCCACGCAACUCGGCGUGGCAGCAGUCGGCGCUACGGAGAGCAAGAGAGGCAAAAGUAUCAAAGACCCGGCCCCACAAACCACUGAACGGGCGCUGAACCUACGCGUGCCUCGCAGCCGUGCUUUCCCCGCUCUGCGUACAGCGACAGCGCCGACGCCAGGAACCCCGCCAUCCACUGCGGCGCAGGCGCAGCAGCGUAGCCGAGGCAUUUGAAGUACCUGCAUCAUCUGGUUCACGACGUGUGAACCGUGGAACUUGUACCACGCCGAGAUGGUUUCCUGGGACGGAGAGAGAUGGCGGUGUGCCUUUGUGUGGAAGUUGGGGAAUUCGGUGCCAGGUAGGUGCAGGGGAGGAUGAGAGGGCUCACAUCUCUACCCUUUUCGUAUCGCGAAGUGCAUCACUUGAUCGUCCCGCCAUGAUCAUCGUUCCUGAGAGAACCGAAAAAGCAGGAAAAAAGAGCGAGGAGGCCCAUCGCCGCUUUUCUGUCGCCUCGUGCUCUUUGUCCUCCUCCUCUCUACAUCUCUGGCUGUUUUUGGUGUUCUCGACACCAACCGCCUUCCCCCAUGGGCCCUGGGGCGCCCUGCCGACGAGCCUCGUGCGUUUCAGUACAAAGUGUUUCUGCCAUGUUCGUUCUCUAUCCAGCAGCUUGGUGGUGCGCCGUAGUCCCCGCCUUUCUCCCCUCCAUGCGCGCACUCUCACCUACCUAGUCCAUUGCACGCGUGCGCGGAUGCGUUUGUCUUUGCCCCUUUUUCUCGCUCCCACCCUAAACACUCACACAACGACAAUGACGCGGCGUGUGUGUACGUGUCCCCCCAUGGGCGGAUGCCCUCCUUUGUCGGCUUACGUUCGACGCCUCGAGCCCACCUUCAG